GCCCUCGUCGUCUAAUGGUUAUGAUUCCAGACUUCUAUGACGAUGUAGAUCAAUCUGGCGGUUGCGGGUUCGAGUCCCGCCGGGGGUA